GUCUCGCGAGAGAAGCGGCGGCUGGGCCCUGCAGGCGGAGGAAGUGGAAAAAGUCGCGGGAGGGUAGGGGACCGCGGAACUUCUGGUUGCUAUGACGACGGCAAAGCCCUGGAUUCCUGUCUCCUGCGGAGAGCAGAGGCUGCAAACGCAUCCGCAGACGCCUUUAUACGUACUCCAAAAUGCUAGUAAGGAUGAAGAUGAACUCUCCUCAGCCCGUGUCUUUUAACUGUAGAAACUUUUCUGAGAAAUGAAAAGAGGCUUGCUCAUGACUUGGAAGCGGUGGGCUGAGGCCUCCCAAGACCAUCUGGCUUGUUCCAUUGCCAGCCAGAGUGGAGGCGACAUUCACACGAACCCAGGAGCUGCAGGGGCGCGUGAGCUACAGCUGCCUUGUGGCAUCCAAGGAGUGCGCAGUGAGAUUCCGCAGGAGAAAUCACGCUUUGCAUGUUCUUGAGUACAAGAAACAUGUGUAAUGAGGGUUUUUGUUUGCGGGCAUGCCAAGGAGAACGACUGGAAUAUUAAAGUCAUCACAGCCUUUAUUUAAGGGAGAAGAGGACAAGCAUGAAUAUGCUGAUAGUUCAGAGAUAUUUAGGACCUUCAGCAGCUCAGCACUCAUCCUAGAUUUAU
rnacentral:lncRNA from 1 species